AUGCGUAGAGUUGUAUCGGUGGUCGGUGCAGAUGAUGCUCCAGUGCAGCCUGCAGGUGCAGAUGAUGCUCAAGUAGAGCCCCAUAGUGAAACAAAUGAGGCAGCAACACAAGCUUCCAGAGUUGCAGAUGAAGUUCAAAGCACACCAAGGAAGAACUACAAGAAGGCAGCAGAGAGAGGAGCAUCUCCAAUGGCUAUCAGCAAGAAGAGGAAGCUUAACACUUCUACAACUCCAGAAGAAGAACCUUGCUCAGUUACUGGCAGCAAUGUAGAUGCAAGAGUUGCUGCAUGUGAAGAGCAAGUUCUCCCUCUAGUUGUUCCCCAAAUCCCUGUCAAACCGACUAGGAGCAGGGCUAGGGACAUGAAAAUCCCAGCUAGCAACACAAGGAGCAAGAAGGCCAAAUCUGGAAAAUGA
rnacentral:rRNA from 1 species